rnacentral:rRNA from 1 species
GGGGCAGCGCGGCAAGACUGCAGUCGACGAGGAACUGAUUAGCUUGCUUUGAAGUUCCUAGUGGCGGACGGGUUAGUAACACGUGAGCAACCUGCCUCGAAGCGGGGGAUAGCCAUCCGAAAGGGUGAUUAAUACCGCAUGUGACCUUCGGGUUAAAGGCGCCUUUGGUGCCACUUCCAGAUGGGCUCGCGGCCUAUCAGCUAGAUGGUGAGGUAACGGCUCACCAUGGCGACCACGGGUAGCUGUUCUGAGAGGAAGAUCAGCAACACUGGAACUGAGACACGGUCCAGACACCUACGGGUGGCAGCAGUCGAGAAUCAUUCACAAUGGGGGCAACCCUGAUGGUGCAACGCCGCGUGGAGGAUGAAGGCCCUAGGGUCGUAAACUCCUGUCAUAUGAGAGUAAGGCAUAAGCCAGUAUAAUGGGUUUAUGUUUGAUAGUAUCAUAAGAGGAAGGGACGGCUAACUUCGUGCCAGCAGCCGCGGUAAUACGAAGGUCCCGAGCGUUAUUCGGAAUCACUGGGCGUAAAGAGUACGUAGGCGGUCAGGUAAGUCAGGUGUGAAAUCCCGGGGCUCAACCCCGGAACUGCACCCGAUACUGCCUGACUGGAGUCAUGGAGGGGCAGGUGGAAUUCUCGGUGUAGCAGUGAAAUGCGUGGAUAUCGAGAGGAAGACCAAUGGCGAAGGCAGCCUGCUGGACAUAGACUGACGUUGAGGUACGAAGGCCAGGGGAGCGAAAGGGAUUAGAUACCCCUGUAGUCCUGGCAGUAAACGGUGCGCGCUUGGUGUGGGAGGACUCGACCCCUUCCGUGCCGGAGCUAACGCGUUAAGCGCCGCCGCCUGGGGAGUU